rnacentral:tRNA from 1 species
GAGGCUUUAGCUUAAUUAAAGUGUCUGCGUUGCAUGCAGAAGAUGUGGGUUAAUGUCCU